UACAGAGGUGGCAAGCGUUGUUCGGAAUUACUGGGCGUAAAGGGCUCGUAGGCGGCCAACUAAGUCAGACGUGAAAUCCCUCGGCUUAACCGGGGAACUGCGUCUGAUACUGGAUGGCUUGAGUUUGGGAGAGGGAUGCGGAAGUUCCAGGUGUAGCGGUGAAAUGCGUAGAUAUCUGGAGGAACACCGGUGGCGAAGGCGGCAUCCUGGACCAACACUGACGCUGAGUGAGCGAAAGCCAGGGGAGCAAACGGG
rnacentral:rRNA from 1 species